rnacentral:rRNA from 1 species
CAGUCGCCACGGGAAUACGAAGGGUGCAAGCGUUACUCGGAAUUACUGGGCGUAAAGCGUGCGUAGGUGGUGGUUUAAGUCCGUUGUGAAAGCCCUGGGCUCAACCUGGGAAUUGCAGUGGAUACUGGGUCACUAGAGUGUGGUAGAGGAUAGUGGAAUUUCCGGUGUAGCAGUGAAAUGCGUAGAGAUCGGAAGGAACAUCUGUGGCGAAGGCGACUAUCUGGGCCAACACUGACACUGAGGCACGAAAGCGUGGGGAGCAAACAGGAUUAGAACCCGCGUAGUCCCUGUCUCUUAUACA